CGGGAAGUUGCGCGAGGAUUUUUUGCAGCGGUACAGCUAAGAGAGUGUAAAAGCUGUAUGCACCAAAGUAAACUUUGUCUCGCAAAGAUUUACUGCGGACUACCAAUGCAAUCUUGAGUACUGGACUGGGAUAUGGCCUUAGACGAAAUGCAUUUAAUAACGAGCAGCUGCAGCUACGAUGAAAAAACCCACUCAAG